GCUCCGGUAGCUCAGUGGUAGAGCAGGCGAUUGAAAAUCGCCGUGUCGGUGGUUCAAUCCCGCCCCGGAGCACCA
rnacentral:tRNA from 1 species